UCACUAUGUAUGCAUCUGUGUCACCAUGAUCAUGGAGGUGGUUCUCCCAGGGCGCAAAGCUCAUCCCUUGCCCUCUGGAUGUGCUAAAUACUGGGGCUUCCCCAAUGAGAGAAACUUGACUGCACAAUUUGUGGUAGUGAGGACUGCAUUCAUACCCUCUCCUUU
ensembl:snRNA Gm22741 predicted gene, 22741